UACGAAGGGGGCUAGCGUUGCUCGGAAUUACUGGGCGUAAAGGGCGCGUAGGCGGACAGUUUAGUCAGAGGUGAAAGCCCAGGGCUCAACCUUGGAAUAGCCUUUGAUACUGACUGUCUUGAGUUCGGGAGAGGUGAGUGGAAUGCCGAGUGUAGAGGUGAAAUGCGUAGAUAUCGGGAGGAACAUCAGUGGCGAAGGCGGCUACCUGGCCCAUAACUGACGCUGAGGCGCGAAAGCUAGGGGAGCAAACGGG
rnacentral:rRNA from 1 species